rnacentral:snRNA from 1 species
GGCUCCCCAUUCGACCCGUC